rnacentral:rRNA from 1 species
UGGGGAAUAUUGCACAAUGGGGGAAACCCUGAUGCAGCGACGCCGCGUGAGCGAUGAAGGCUUUCGAGUCGUAAAGCUCUGUCCUUUGGGAAGAUAAUGACGGUACCAUAGAAGAAAGCCCCGGCUAAUUACGUGCCAGCAGCCGCGGUAAUACGUAAGGGGCGAGCGUUGUCCGGAAUUAUUGGGCGUAAAGAGUUCGUAGGCGGCAAAUUAAGUCAGAUGUGAAAACUAAGGGCUCAACCCAUAGAUUGCAUCUGAAACUGAUAUGCUUGAGUCAAGGAGAAGAAAGUGGAAUUCCUAGUGUAGCGGUGGAAGGCGUAGAUAUUAGGAGGAAUACCGGUGGCGAAGGCGACUUUCUGGACUUGAACUGACGCUGAGGCACGAAAGCGUGGGGAGCAAACAGG